CACUGGUCUCACGGGCCCUGACUGAACCAUUAUUCGAACCUCUAGAAGGAGCUUCCAUGGUGGUAACACAGAAAGUGCUGGUGGCUGGUACCCCAGCAAGGGAAAUGGGUGAACUCCAGGAUUGAUCCUGUGUACCCCCAUUCACUGAAUUUCAACAGGAUAUGGUUGUCUUGCAUGUAGCACCAGUGAUCGUGCCCAAAGUGAGAGCCUUUCAAUGCCG